AGUGAACGCUGGCGGUAGGCCUAACACAUGCAAGUCGAACGGCAGCACGGUAAGAGCUUGCUCUUACGGGUGGCGAGUGGCGGACGGGUGAGGAAUACAUCGGAAUCUACUUUUUCGUGGGGGAUAACGUAGGGAAACUUACGCUAAUACCGCAUACGACCUACGGGUGAAAGCAGGGGAUCUUCGGACCUUGCGCGAUUGAAUGAGCCGAUGUCGGAUUAGCUAGUUGGCGGGGUAAAGGCCCACCAAGGCGACGAUCCGUAGCUGGUCUGAGAGGAUGAUCAGCCACACUGGAACUGAGACACGGUCCAGACUCCUACGGGAGGCAGCAGUGGGGAAUAUUGGACAAUGGGCGCAAGCCUGAUCCAGCCAUACCGCGUGGGUGAAGAAGGCCUUCGGGUUGUAAAGCCCUUUUGUUGGGGAAGAAAAGCAGCAGGUUAAUACCCCGCUGUUCUGACGGUACCCAAAGAAUAAGCACCGGCUAACUUCGUG
rnacentral:rRNA from 1 species